GGGCGCUUAGCUCAGCGGUAGAGCACUCGGUUUACACCCGAGCGGUCGGGGGUUCGAAUCCCUCAGCGCCCA
rnacentral:tRNA from 1 species